GAGCCAGAGCCAGAGCCCCACCUGCUGACCAAUGGCGAGACCACCCAGAAGGAGGGGACCCAGGCCAGUGAGGGGUACUUCAGCCAAUCACAGGAGGAGGAGUUUGCCCAAUCGGAAGAGCUGUGUGCAAAGGCCCCGCCUCCUGUGUUCUACAACAAGCCUCCAGAAAUCGACAUCACUUGCUGGGAUGCAGACCCAGUACCAGAAGAGGAGGAGGGCUUCGAGGGUGGCGACUAGCGGUGGUGCCCGUCCUCAGGCUGCCCUCGCCAAGGCCUCACACCUGCGCUGGCCUCUGGCCAGACGGCCCGCAGUGCCUGCACUUGCAGCAGCUCCGCCUGGCACCCUCUGGACUCCGGCCCUGGCCGGGGACUUGGCCGCUUCCCUACCCACAGGGCCCGACUUUUACAGCUUUUCUUUUUUUUAAAAGUUGAUAGGAGACUUGUACAGUUGACCGGUUUUCCUCCCGUUGGUAGUUGAGACGCUGUUGCAAAUUCCAUCCCCUUCCUGCCCGGUCCAGAUUGUAGAUCUUAGUCCUCCCUGGUCACUCAGCUGGCCGGGGUGGAGGCCUCACCCUGCUUUGGGGCCUGUGUGGGGGGAUGCUCUGGUGGGAAAAUGUUCCCCCCACCUCUUUUCCUAGUUUUCUGUUUCUUGGAAAAAUAUCACUUUGUAUUCUCUGUCCAGGGCUUCAGAUAUUUUGCACGAAUUUUAAAACAUGGCAAUAAACGGCUCGUGGGCUCUGGUUCCCUGGGACCCCCCUUCCCCACCCUUCUCUUGACCUCCCCACCUGGCCUGAAGGAAGUAGCAGGCCCAGCUGGGGCCCCUCAGCUUCCUGGCCCUUUCCUGCCCCCUCCUGCUGGGCAGGUCCCAAGCUGGAGGCCCUAGGCGUGAUUCAGGUCAGGGCUAUGGGUGGUCCCUCUUCACCUCCUCCCUCUUUGCUUGGGUUCCUUUUUCACGUUCAGUAACUGUUUUUUGGAAAGCACAAACUUCUGUAACAGGUCGUGCUCAUGUCUGUUAAUAAAGAAAUCCAGAUC
rnacentral:lncRNA from 1 species